GACGAACGCUGGCGGCGUGCUUAACACAUGCAAGUCGAACGGAAAGGCCCUGCUUGCUGGGUACUCGAGUGGCGAACGGGUGAGUAACACGUGGGUGAUCUGCCCUGCACUUCGGGAUAAGCCUGGGAAACUGGGUCUAAUACCGGAUAGGAGCCAUUUUUAGUGUGAUGGUUGGAAAGUUUUUUCGGUGUAGGAUGAGCUCGCGGCCUAUCAGCUUGUUGGUGGGGUAAUGGCCUACCAAGGCGGCGACGGGUAGCCGGCCUGAGAGGGUGGACGGCCACAGUGGGACUGGGAUACGGCCCAGACUCCGACGGGAGGCAGCAGUGGGGAAGAUUGCACAAGGGGCGCAAGCCUGAUGCAGCGACGCCGCGGGGGGGAGGACGGCCUUCGGGUUGUAAACUCCUUUCGCUAGGGACGAAGCUUUUUGUGACGGUACCUAGAUAAGAAGCACCGGCUAACUACGUG
rnacentral:rRNA from 1 species